rnacentral:rRNA from 1 species
UGAGUAACCUGCCCUUAACUCUGGGAUAAGCCUGGGAAACUGGGUCUAAUACCGGAUAUGACUCCUCAUCGCAUGGUGGGGGGUGGAAAGCUUUUUGUGGUUUUGGAUGGACUCGCGGCCUAUCAGCUUGUUGGUGAGGUAAUGGCUUACCAAGGCGACGACGGGUAGCCGGCCUGAGAGGGUGACCGGCCACACUGGGACUGAGACACGGCCCAGACCUCCGUACGGGAGGCAG